UACGGAGGGUGCAAGCGUUAUCCGGAUUCACUGGGUUUAAAGGGAGCGUAGGUGGGCUGGUAAGUCAGUGGUGAAAUCUCCGGGCUUAACUAGGAAACUGCCGUUGAUACUAUCAGUCUUGAAUAUUGUGGAGGUAAGCGGAAUAUGUCAUGUAGCGGUGAAAUGCUUAGAUAUGACAUAGAACACCGAUAGCGAAGGCAGCUUGCUACACAAUUAUUGACACUGAGGCUCGAAAGCGUGGGGAUCAAACAGG
rnacentral:rRNA from 1 species